CAGUCGCGUUCUCUGGGAUUCAGCCUUGCUUUUGCUUGGUGCAUUUCCUAGUCUACGGGCCAGCAUGGAUUUCGAUCGGUGGAAAAGGGUUGGGGGAAUGUGGCACCUCCGGGUGUGUUAUAGCCUUUGGUAGAUGUGACGAUUGGGAUUGAGGAUUGCAACGGAUACCCCCUCGGGGUUACCCGUCUGAUCUCUGAAGGUUACUCCGGUGCUGAAAGCGUGCUUAUGGUUAUCGGAAGUGAUUUUCAAAAGGUUAGAACGGGUUAAAUUCGUUAAGGAUGUUGACGUAAUGGCUUUAAACGACCCGUCUUGA
rnacentral:rRNA from 1 species